rnacentral:snoRNA from 1 species
ANAUUCAUGAUGAUAAAACCAACCAUANGUAGUAAUAGUAGAUAGGCCCGCGACUUCGUUUUGAUAGUUAGUACUGCCUUUUCAUGAUUNCUUGANGCAUAUGUCUGAUUUUU